rnacentral:rRNA from 1 species
GAUGAACGCUGGCGGCGUGCCUAAUACAUGCAAGUCGAGCGAACAGACGAGGAGCUUGCUCCUCCGACGUUAGCGGCGGACGGGUGAGUAACACGUGGAUAACCUACCUAUAAGACUGGGAUAACUUCGGGAAACCGGAGCUAAUACCGGAUAAUAUAUUGAACCGCAUGGUUCAAUAGUGAAAGACGGUUUUGCUGUCACUUAUAGAUGGAUCCGCGCCGCAUUAGCUAGUUGGUAAGGUAACGGCUUACCAAGGCAACGAUGCGUAGCCGACCUGAGAGGGUGAUCGGCCACACUGGAACUGAGACACGGUCCAGACUCCUACGGGAGGCAGCAGUAGGGAAUCCUCCGCAAUGGGCGAAAGCCUGACGGAGCAACGCCGCGUGAGUGAUGAAGGUCUUCGGAUCGUAAAACUCUGUUAUUAGGGAAGAACAAAUGUGUAAGUAACUAUGCACGUCUUGACGGUACCUAAUCAGAAAGCCACGGCUAACUACGUG